AGUGAACGCUGGCGGUAGGCCUAACACAUGCAAGUCGAACGGCAGCACAGUAAGAGCUUGCUCUUACGGGUGGCGAGUGGCGGACGGGUGAGGAAUACAUCGGAAUCUACUUUUUCGUGGGGGAUAACGUAGGGAAACUUACGCUAAUACCGCAUACGACCUACGGGUGAAAGCAGGGGAUCUUCGGACCUUGCGCGAUUGAAUGAGCCGAUGUCGGAUUAGCUAGUUGGCGGGGUAAAGGCCCACCAAGGCGACGAUCCGUAGCUGGUCUGAGAGGAUGAUCAGCCACACUGGAACUGAGACACGGUCCAGACUCCUAUGGGAGGCAGCAGUGGGGGAUAUUGGACAAUGGGCGCAAGCCUGAUCCAGCCAUACCGCGUGGGUGAAGAAGGCCUUCGGGUUGUAAAGCCCUUUUGUUGGGAAAGAAAAGCAGCAGGUUAAUACCCCGCUGUUCUGACGGUACCCAAAGAAUAAGCACCGGCUAACUUCGUG
rnacentral:rRNA from 1 species